rnacentral:misc_RNA from 1 species
CCAAUAGCGUAUAUUAAAGUUGUUGCAGUUAAAAAGCUCGUAGUUGAAUUUUAGGCCUGGCCGGAUGGUCCGUCUUUGGCGAGUACUGUUCUGUCGUCGGGUCUAUCCUUCUGGUGAGCCGGGAUGCCCUUUAUUGGGUGUGUCGGGGAACCAGGACCAUUACCUUGAAAAAAUUAGAGUGUUUAAAGCGGGCAUUUGCUUGAAUAGAUUAGCAUGGAAUAAUAGAAUAGGACGUUGGUUCUAUUUUGUUGGUUUUAGGACCACCGUAAUGAUUAAUAGGGAUAGUUGGGGGCAUUAGUAUUCAAUUGUCAGAGGUGAAAUUCUUGGAUUUAUUGAAGACUAACUAUUGCGAAAGCAUUUGCCAAGGAUGUUUUCAUUAAUCAAGAACGAAAGUUAGGGGAUCGAAGACGAUCAGAUACCGUCGUAGUCUUAACUAUAAACUAUGCCGACUAGGAAUCGGGCGACGUUAUUUCAUGACUCGCUCGGCGCCUUAUG